AACGAACGCUGGCGGCAUGCCUAACACAUGCAAGUCGAACGAUUGCCUUCGGGUGAUAGUGGCGCACGGGUGCGUAACGCGUGGGAAUCUGCCCUUAGGUUCGGAAUAACAGCUGGAAACGGCUGCUAAUACCGGAUGAUAUCGCGAGAUCAAAGAUUUAUCGCCUGAGGAUGAGCCCGCGUUGGAUUAGGUAGUUGGUGGGGUAAAGGCCUACCAAGCCGACGAUCCAUAGCUGGUCUGAGAGGAUGAUCAGCCACACUGGGACUGAGACACGGCCCAGACUCCUACGGGAGGCAGCAGUGGGGAAUAUUGGACAAUGGGCGCAAGCCUGAUCCAGCAAUGCCGCGUGAGUGAUGAAGGCCCUAGGGUUGUAAGGCUCUUUUACCCGGGAAGAUAAUGACUGUACCGGGAGAAUAAGCCCCGGCUAACUCCGUG
rnacentral:rRNA from 1 species